GGACAACACUGAACUGAAUUGAAGCUCUUUAGACAAAAAAAAAAAAAAAAAAAAAACUCAGCGGAAUCCUGUACUGACUGGUAUCUGCAUGAUUUUACGCAUUGUGCUGUGCCACAUGAUUGGCUGAUUAGAUAACUGCAUGAAUGAUCAGGUGUACAGGAGGUCCUAUUAAAGUGGCAUGUGAGUGGAAGUGAUAGUAUUUAGAAAAAGUGAACAUUCACAUGACAAUAAAAAAAAACAAACAUGUAAAAUGCUGAAUAUCUUUUCAAAUAAUUUAAGAAUGAAAUGGAUAAAAAAAAAACAAACAUUAAGAUAAAGUUAAAAGGAAUUUUUUUGAGUUUUAGAUUCACAUCUUUCAUUUCAAGCGACUAUCCAGACUAUGAGAAAUAAUAACCAUGACAGUCUUGAUAACUAGUUUAUAGUAAUCUCCAGCAAAACAAUACAAUCAUUGACCCCCUGGACUUAACUUAGAGAACGAUGGGCCUGUAUUAAUCUUGAAACUAGAAGCAAGGCAACAAGACAAACAUCCUUUAGAGGGCAGUGCAGCUUCACGUUGACCACGCUGGAAGCGUGGACCUCAGCCCAGAUGUGAUCAACGGAAAAAUAUAGGAAUGCAUACUCUGAGCAACAAGGAGGACACAAACCUGGCAGAUCCCCCCCCACCUUCCAGCUCUCCCUCCUGUGCUGCCGGAUGCCCACCUGUGUGCCCAUCUGCACCAGAGAAAUGCCAGUUGUUGUGUAUGUUUGCCAGGCUGAAUCAAGACCUGCAUCCCAGGUGUGUGUGUAUCUUCGUGUGUGUAUGUGGCCAUCACUUGCUGACAGCUCUCUCGGGAAUGCACUAGCUCUCCCCAGUGAGGACACAGUGGGUACAGGGCUCCAAAAGUCCGCUUGUCAUAAUGCAGUGUGAGCAGGAAUGAAAACAGAUUGUCACUUUGGCGUCCGAUCUAUCAUCUCUUUAAUGAUGAAGCAUCCUGAUCCUGCUUUGUAUUAAUCAAAAUAUAGGUUGCUAUUUGUUUAAGAAAGCUCAUAUUAGACACUAAAAUAAGGCUUGUUCAGUAUCAUAGCUUUUGAGUUUUCAAAUCAGAAGGUGUGGGCUCAUAGGCGUGGAUUUGUUUUCUAUAGCUGUGGAUUUGUUGACUA
ensembl:lncRNA